GACGUAGGGCGCGAGCGUUGUCCGGAUUUAUUGGGCGUAAAGAGCUCGUAGGCGGCUUGUCGCGUCGUCUGUGAAAUCCCGUGGCUCAACUGCGGGCUGGCAGUCGAUACGGGCAGGCUGGAGUUCGGUAGGGGAGACUGGAAUUCCUGGUGUAGCGGUGAAAUGCGCAGAUAUCAGGAGGAACACCGGUGACGAAGGCGGGUCUCUGGGCCGAUACCGACGCUGAGGUGCGAAAGCGUGGGGAGCAAACAGG
rnacentral:rRNA from 1 species